AACGAACGCUGGCGGCGUGGAUAAGACAUGCAAGUCGAACGAGGAACUCUUAGCUUGCUUUGGGUUCCUAGUGGCGGACGAGUGAGUAACACGUGAGUCACCUGCCCUUAAGUCAGGAAUAGCCCGGGGAAACUCGGAUUAAUACCUGAUGUGAUAGUAGUAUUAAAGGUGCCUUCGGGUGCCGCUUAAGGAUGGGCUCGCGGCCUAUCAGCUUGUUGGUGAGGUAAAGGCUCACCAAGGCGACGACGGGUAGCUGGUCUGAGAGGAUGAUCAGUCACGCUGGAACUGAGACACGGUCCAGACACCUACGGGUGGCAGCAGUCGAGAAUCAUUCACAAUGGGCGAAAGCCUGAUGGUGCGACGCCGCGUGGAGGAUGAAGGCCCUAGGGUUGUAAACUCCUGUCAUCAAAGAGUAAAGCUUAGGUGUUAAUACCAUCUUAAGCCUGAUAGUAUUUGAAGAGGAAGGGGCGGCUAACUCCG
rnacentral:rRNA from 1 species